rnacentral:lncRNA from 1 species
GUUGACGGUUUUAGCCCCACAGUUUUAUACCAUAAGCAGCUCACAGGAAAGUGGGGCUGGGAGAACCCAAUGGGGAGGCCACGCUAGAGAGAUCUCAUCCGUCAGGGGAGCAACAGGAAACCUUGCUCACCAAUAACCGAUUAGAAAACAGCUCGCUUAACUACUGUUUAAACCUCUCUCUCUCUCACACACACCUUCCAGAGAGCCCAGCCUUGGAGUAUGAUGAAUUAUAACCACCCCC